GGAAUCUUCCACAAUGGACGCAAGUCUGAUGGAGCAACGCCGCGUGAGUGAAGAAGGUCUUCGGAUCGUAAAACUCUGUUGUUAGAGAAGAACACGAGUGAGAGUAACUGUUCAUUCGAUGACGGUAUCUAACCAGCAAGCCACGGCUAACUACGUGCCAG
rnacentral:rRNA from 1 species